rnacentral:rRNA from 1 species
GAUGAACGCUGGCGGCGUGCCUAAUACAUGCAAGUCGAGCGAAAAGACGCGGCGUUUAUUCCUCUGACGUUAGCGGCGGACGGGUGAGUAACACGUGGAUCACCUACUUAUAAGACUGGGAUAACUUCGGGAAUCGGGAGCUAAUCCCGGAUAACAUGUUGAACCGCAUGGUUCAACAGUGAAAGUCGGUCUUGCUGUCACGUAUAGAUGGAUCCGCGUCGCAUUAGCUAGUUGUUAAGGUAACGGCUUACCAAGGCAACGAUGCGUAGCCGACCGCCGAGGGUGAUCGGCCACACUGGAACUGAAACACGCUCCAGACUCCUACGGGAGGCAGCAGUAGGGAAUCUUCCGCAAUGGGCGAAAGCCUGACGGAGCAACGCCGCGUGAGUGAAGAAGAUCUUCGGAUCGUAAAACUCUGUUAUUAGGGAAGAACAAAUGUGUAAGUAACUAUGCACGUCUUGACGGUACCUAAUCAGAAAGCCACGGCUAACUACGUG